UUCUUUGAAACAAACUUGCUUUGGCGGUGGGCCCAGCCUGCCGCCAGAGGUCUAAACUUACAACCAAUUUUUUAUCAACUUGUCACACCAGAUUAUUACUAAUAGUCAAAACUUUCAACAACGGAUCUCUUGGUUCUCGCAUCGAUGAAGAACGCAGCGAAAUGCGAUACGUAAUAUGAAUUGCAGAUAUUCGUGAAUCAUCGAAUCUUUGAACGCACAUUGCGCCCUCUGGUAUUCCGGAGGGCAUGCCUGUUUGAGCGUCGUUUCUCCCUCAAACCGCUGGGUUUGGUGUUGAGCAAUACGACUUGGGUUUGCUUGAAAGACGGUAGUGGUAAGGCGGGAUCGCUUUGACAAUGGCUUAGGUCUAACCAAAAACAUUGCUUGCGGCGGUAACGUCUACCACGUAUAUCUUCAAACUUUGACCUCAAAUCAGGUAGGACUACCCGCUGAACUUAAGCAU
rnacentral:rRNA from 1 species